rnacentral:rRNA from 1 species
UGGGGAAUAUUGCACAAUGGGGGAAACCCUGAUGCAGCGACGCCGCGUGAAGGAAGAAGUAUCUCGGUAUGUAAACUUCUAUCAGCAGGGAAGAAAAUGACGGUACCUGACUAAGAAGCCCCGGCUAACUACGUGCCAGCAGCCGCGGUAAUACGUAGGGGGCAAGCGUUAUCCGGAUUUACUGGGUGUAAAGGGAGCGUAGACGGUGUUGCAAGUCUGAUGUGAAAGGCGGGGGCUCAACCCCUGGACUGCAUUGGAAACUGUGAUACUCGAGUGCCGGAGAGGUAAGCGGAAUUCCUAGUGUAGCGGUGAAAUGCGUAGAUAUUGGGAAGAACACCAGUGGCGAAGGCGGCUUUCUGGACUGUAACUGACGCUGAGGCUCGAAAGCUAGGGUAGCGAA